GUAUCCGCACGAGCGCACCCUUGUCAUUAGUUGCUACAUUUAGUUGGGCACUCUAAUGAGACUGCCGGUGACAAACCGGAGGAAGGUGGGGAUGACGUCAAGUCCUCAUGGCCCUUAUAGGUAGGGCUACACACGUCAUACAAUGGAUGGUACAGAGGGUCGCCAACCCGCGAGGGGGAGCUAAUCCCAUAAAACCAUUCGUAGUCCGGAUCGCAGUCUGCAACUCGACUGCGUGAAGUCGGAAUCGCUAGUAAUCGCGGAUCAGAAUGUCGCGGUGAAUACGUUCCCGGGUCUUGUACACACCGCCCGUCACACCAUGGGAGCGGGUUCUGCCAGAAGUAGUUAGCCUAACCGCAAGGAGGGCGAUUACCACGGCAGGGUUCGUGACUGGGGUGAAGUCGUAACAAGGUAGCCGUAUCGGAAGGUGCGGCUGGAUCACCUCCUUU
rnacentral:rRNA from 1 species